GUCACAUCUAUCUAUGUAUAUAGCGAUACCUACAUGUCACCUUUGAAGAGAAGUUGACAGUUUGUAUAUAUAUAUAUAUAUGAUUUAAACCAUCACAACCUUAUAACCGAGAGAUGGGUGUAUUACGAGAUUUACUUCGAUUGAGGAACAUUUUUAUCAUAAUUCUGACACCUAUAAUACUAUUACCAAUUAUUUAUAGCAUUGAAACAAAGGAGGCAAAAUGUGCUUAUAUAGUUAUACUUAUGGCUGUGUAUUGGAUAACGGAGGCCUUACCUAUAGCUGUGACGUCACUGCUACCCAUUAUUCACGCCAUUGACAGGAUUGGGCAGUGCAAAAACUGUGUCAAGCAAGUAUCUUAAUGACGUUUCUAUGUUAUUUCUUGGUGGACUAAUGAUGGCUGUGGCUAUAGAACAUUGGAACAUUCACAAACGAUUGGCACUUAGAAUUCUGUUACUUGUUGGAUCAGAACCAAGAUGG